UAGGGAAUCUUCGGCAAUGGACGAAAGUCUGACCGAGCAACGCCGCGUGAGUGAAGAAGGUUUUCGGAUCGUAAAACUCUGUUGUUAGAGAAGAACAAGGACGUUAGUAACUGAACGUCCCCUGACGGUAUCUAACCAGAAAGCCACGGCUAACUACGUGCCAGCAGCCGCGGUAAUACGUAGGUGGCAAGCGUUGUCCGGAUUUAUUGGGCGUAAAGCGAGCGCAGGCGGUUUCUUAAGUCUGAUGUGAAAGCCCCCGGCUCAACCGGGGAGGGUCAUUGGAAGCUGGGAGACUUAAGUGCAGAAGAGGAGAGUGGAAUUCCAUGUGUAGCGGUGAAAUGCGUAGAUAUAUGGAGGAACACCGGUGGCGAAGGCGGCUCUCUGGUCUGUAACUGACGCGGAGGCUCGAAAGCGUGGGGAGCAAACAGG
rnacentral:rRNA from 1 species